CGUUAUGUUACCGUUACGGGCCUAGAUAGGCCGGUAACAUCUCUAAUCAUGCCGGGCCCGACAGGUCGGGCUGAGCUCGGCCCGUUGUGGGCGGCCAAGGCCCGGCCCGCCAUGGGUGGCCCAUCGUGCCAGCUUGGCCCAGCCCGCCAUGGGCGGCCCAUUGUGCCGGGCCGAGCAUGGACCGUGGGUUGGGCAGGGCCUAGUCUUUAUUGGGUUUGUGCCAGGCUCGGGUCUGGGCUCGC
rnacentral:lncRNA from 1 species